rnacentral:rRNA from 1 species
AAUUGAGACAGGUGGUGCAUGGUUGUCGUCAGCUCGUGUCGUGAGAUGUUGGGUUAAGUCCCGCAACGAGCGCAACCCUUGUGUUUAGUUGCAAACAGGUCAAGCUGUGCACUCUAGACAGACUGCCGUGGACAACACGGAGGAAGGUGGGGAUGACGUCAAAUCAUCAUGCCCCUUAUGAUCUGGGCUACACACGUGCUACAAUGGCCGGUACAACGGGCAGCGAAGGAGCGAUCCGGAGCGAAUCCUAAAAAGCCGGUCCCAGUUCGGAUUGCAGGCUGAAACUCGCCUACAUGAAGUUGGAGUUGCUAGUAAUCGCGAAUCAGAAUGUCGCGGUGAAUGCGUUCCCGGGCCUU